rnacentral:rRNA from 1 species
GACGAACGCUGGCGGCGUGCUUAACACAUGCAAGUCGAACGGAAAGGCCCUGCUUUUGUGGGGUGCUCGAGUGGCGAACGGGUGAGUAACACGUGAGUAACCUGCCCUUGACUUUGGGAUAACUUCAGGAAACUGGGGCUAAUACCGGAUAGGAGCUCCUGCUGCAUGGUGGGGGUUGGAAAGUUUCGGCGGUUGUGGAUGGUCUCGCGGCUUAUCAGCUUGUUGGUGGGGUAGUGGCUUACCAAGGCUUUGACGGGUAGCCGGCCUGAGAGGGUGACCGGCCACAUUGGGACUGAGAUACGGCCCAGACUCCUACGGGAGGCAGAAGUGGGGAAUAUUGCACAAUGGGCGGAAGCCUGAUGCAGCAACGCCGCGUGCGGGAUGACGGCCUUCGGGUUGUAAACCGCUUUCGCCUGUGACGAAGCGUGAGUGACGGUAAUGGGUAAAGAAGCACCGGCUAACUACGUG